CGUGAGGUUGCAGACCGGACAGCGAGCCUCCCUCGUUCCGACGUUGCUCUGACCUCCGGAGAUGACAAGUGAGCAAGAAGUGUCCGAUCGGGCCAUCCCCUUCAGGCUUCAGGAGGAAAGGAGCUGCAAGGACAAUGGCCCUGACAGUGGAUUACAAGGUAGAGCUAUUCCUGUUUAUCAACCAAAGAGGAGAUCCAGGGAACAGCAUCAGAGAAGAUCCCAAGCACUGAAGACCUUCCUCCUCCAAGGAUGAAAUCUGAAUGGCUAAUCACAGUUACUUAUCAGCUCCUAAAACCUAAAUAGCAGGCAUGGCCAGUUGAGUGGGACCUCCAAGGAAAAUACAGCAUGCUACAGGAAGUAUAUUGCUAAUUUAAUGAAGUGCCAUACAUACAUGGCUUUGCAUCAGUGCUGAACGGAUGCCUCAGUACAGCAUCAGGAAACCCUGCUGCUGACAACACUAUAUUUCAAAGGUACUUUAAAGCCAACUUGACAACCCCCUCUUGGUGCCCAGAUAUUUCCAUGGCUCAUAUAUUAGAAGCAGGAGUCAGUAUAUGCUGAGCAAAACCUUUUGUGUAUAUACACAUUUCUGCCUCCCAGAUCCUUCCUAGAGGAUUAAUGUUGGGUUUUCAUUUAUUUUGGGUUUUUUUUUCUUUUCUUUUCUUUCUUUUCUUUUCUUUUCUUUUUUUUUUUUUUUUUUUUUUUUUUUUGGUUACUUUUACCCCUCAAACACCAUGUAGCUUUGCUGAAUAAUACUAAACAGCUGCAGUGUGCUACCCAGUGGGAUUGCUGAAAUUUUUGGCAAUUGCUGAAAUGUCUCCGUGUAGACACAUAUUCACACAUGUGGAGAUAGAAAAAUUGUUUAAGAACCAGGGGACCCAUCGGAAUGAAAGAUGCCAGCUAAGUGCUAAACAUUAUUAUUUCAUCUGAAAGAAGAGCGAGGCAGAGAAAAAUAAUUUCUGAUAAGACUGAAAAUGCCUCAGAAGUAUUAUGUUAAUUAUUAUCACAAAAGUUCAUCAGGAGCCCCCAAGCUCAGCAAACCUGACCAGAAAUCCAUUUCCCUUCUGACAGUCUACCAGCCUGUGCUAGCAUUCUUGCUCCUAAUUACUUCAAUUAAAGGUGCUUUAUAAUAAAGUGUUGUCAUUUCUCUUCCUCA
rnacentral:lncRNA from 1 species